rnacentral:rRNA from 1 species
CCCUUAGAUGUUCUGGGCCGCACGCGCGCUACACUGAUGAAGUCAGCGAGCAUGUCCUACGCCGACAGGUGCGGGGAAUCUUGUCAAACUUCGUCGUGAUGGGGAUUGAUUAUUGAAAUUCUUGAUCAUCAACGAGGAAUUCCUAGUAAGCGCAAGUCAGCAGCUUGCGUUGAUUACGUCCCUGCCCUUUGUACACACCGCCCGUCGCUACUACCGAUUGAAUGGUUUAGUGAGAUCUUCGGAUUGGCGCCACUGCGGCUCAGCAAUGGGCUCGGUGGAUGCCGAAAAGUUGAUCAAACUUGAUCAUUUAGAGGAAGUAAAAGUCGUAACA